UCAGGACGAACGCUGGCGGCGUGCCUAAUACAUGCAAGUAGAACGCUGAUGUUUGGUGUUUACACUAGACUGAUGAGUUGCGAACGGGUGAGUAACGCGUAGGUAACCUGCCUCAUAGCGGGGGAUAACUAUUGGAAACGAUAGCUAAUACCGCAUAAGAGUAAUUAACACAUGUUAGUUAUUUAAAAGGAGCAAUUGCUUCACUGUGAGAUGGACCUGCGUUGUAUUAGCUAGUUGGUGAGGUAAAGGCUCACCAAGGCGACGAUACAUAGCCGACCUGAGAGGGUGAUCGGCCACACUGGGACUGAGACACGGCCCAGACUCCUACGGGAGGCAGCAGUAGGGAAUCUUCGGCAAUGGACGGAAGUCUGACCGAGCAACGCCGCGUGAGUGAAGAAGGUUUUCGGAUCGUAAAGCUCAGUUGUUAGAGAAGAACGUUGGUAGGAGUGGAAAAUCUACCAAGUGACGGUAACUAACCAGAAAGGGACGGCUAACUACGUGCCAGCAGC
rnacentral:rRNA from 1 species